AGCUGUGGAAUCAUCAAUCAUAUUUUGCAGACUUGGGUGGAAAAUAAGUGCCCUUUAAGCUGUGCCCUGCAGUUCUUGCCUCAGUCUGUGCCCUCUUUUGCAGCCUGAGUCGCGUGGACUGACACUGAUCCCUGCCGAGCCAGGAAUAUCUGCUCUAGGGAGGCCGUUCUGCCAGGGCAUGGGAGAAGCCUCACCCCCAGGGUUGUGGGAUGUGCUGUGGGACCGAAAACACACGGGAAGAAAGAAGCUGCCUUCCAGAACACCGGGUUGCUCAGCAAAGAAGCUCCUCUUUAUUUAUAAAGCGAUAAUGAGAGUAUUUAAAUUGUAUCUGAAGCACUGCCCCAUGUCCCUGGAGCAGCCUGUGGGCAAUGGCAGUGCUGGGAGCAGGGAAGGGUGAGUGAAAGCCCUGGGAUCCCCCCACCUUUGUGCCACCAGCAGCUCCUGGAGCCCCCCAGGACCCCCAGGGGGGACCAGGCUUGAUGGAAAAUGCCUGCGACAAGGAGCCACGUCUGUUCACCUCCACACUUGCAGCUUCAGCACUAACGCUGAUAUCGCUCUUGACUUUGUCAGCACUGAUAGUUAUGAGAGUGAAUCUGUUGUAAUCUGGACCAUCUCCCGAGGGAAGGAGGGACUCUGAAAUGAUUCCAUGCAUUUGCUUCAGCAGGAUGGCACAGACUCAGCACUCCUGAGUCGCGUGGACUGACACUGAUCCCUGCCGAGCCAGGAACAUCUGCUCUAGGGAGGCCGUUCUGCCAGGGCAUGGGAGAAGCCUCACCCCCAGGGUUGUGGGAUGUGCUGUGGGACCGAAAACACACGGGAAGAAAGAACUUGCCUUCCAGAACACCGGGUUGCU